GCGGGCGUGGCGAAACGGGUAAACGCGUGGGACUUAGGAUCCCAUGGGCCCUGCCCUUGAGGGUUCGACUCCCUCCGCCCGCA
rnacentral:tRNA from 1 species